CUUUUCUUCCACAAACAUGGGACCAAGGAUCAAGAGUUCAAUCAUCUGUAAAAAUGGAAAAACAAUACCUACUUCACAAGAUUCCUAUGGUAAUUAAUGAGGAUGCAGUGUGAGAGUGAUGAUGAACCAGCCUCCCCGGACAAGGUGUUGAGAGCAGGUGAAUAACGUCAGAGCUCUUAAACAGGGGGACUAUUACUAUUAUCAGAGGAAACUGAAGUACAGAGAAGAUAAUAACUUCCCGAGAUUAACAGAGC